AUGGAACCGGAGGUAAGGGAGAAAGUGGAGACGGAUAAUGAGGUUGCUCGUAUGCACCAAAACCUGUACUACCAAAAUGCCACAGAUGAGAAGAUCAAGAGGGCGUCUGCUCUAUUUGUUGUCGGACAACUAGUACCUAAUAUUGCUCGGGAAUCAAGUGCAGAGGGAGGCCAAACGCCAGACAUAGGUGUUCACACAAGCUUGGAUGUUGGUCAGCAUGCUCAGCUCACAGGAUCGAACUUUAUGGACAGUGCCAGCCCCAGAGGGCAAGACAAUGUGAAGCGGACCAAGCAACGGAGAAGCAAGAGGAGGUCUAAGAGAGCAAGGAGUAAGAAUCGUAGGAAAGUUCGAUUCUCAAACAUGGUUCAGACAAUCUGUCCAACCGAGAGCUCGAAAACUAAUGAUACAAGCAGUUAUGAUGGAAAUGUUGCUAGCGCCGAGGACAAUGGGGGACCAAUCCGUACAAGAGUAAACAACAGCUUAGAGAAUGACAUAUCGAAGCACGGAACAGAGUGCCAGGGGCUGUGGGGCAGGUUGGUGCGACUGUUUCAAACGUGCCAGUUGUUUCAACUCUCAGGAAUGAUUGCACCGCUACUGGUCCCACCGAGCCUAGAGAUGCAUGCAAACAAGGGCGGAUGA
rnacentral:rRNA from 1 species